CCUACGGGAGGCAGCAGUGAGGAAUUUUGGUCAAUGGCCGUAAGGCUGAACGAGCCAAGUAGCGUGAGGGAAGACUGCCCUAUGGGUUGUAAACCUCUUUUAUGCGGGGAUAAAGGUGUCCACGUGUGGAUGUUUGCAGGUACCGCAUGAUUAAGGACCGGCUAAUUCCGUGCCAGCAGCCGCGGUUAUACGGAAGGUCCGGGCGUUAUCCGGAUUUAUUGGGUUUAAAGGGAGCGUAGGCCGGUCUUUAAGCGUGCCGGGAAAUUUUGUGGCUCAACCAUGAGAGUGCGGCGCAAACUGGAGACCUUGAGUGCGCGGAAGGCAGGCGGAAUUCGUGGUGUAGCGGUGAAAUGCUUAGAUAUCACGAAGAACCCCGAUGGCGAAGGCAGCCUGCCGCAGCGUUACUGACGCUGAAGCUCGAAAGCGCGGGUAUCGAACAGGAUUAGAUACCCUUGUAGUC
rnacentral:rRNA from 1 species